GAUGAACGCUGGCGGCGUGCCUAAUACAUGCAAGUCGAGCGAACGGACGAGAAGCUUGCUUCUCUGAUGUUAGCGGCGGACGGGUGAGUAACACGUGGAUAACCUACCUAUAAGACUGGGAUAACUUCGGGAAACCGGAGCUAAUACCGGAUAAUAUUUUGAACCGCAUGGUUCAAAAGUGAAAGACGGUCUUGCUGUCACUUAUAGAUGGGUCCGCGCUGCAUUAGCUAGUUGGUAAGGUAACGGCUUACCAAGGCAACGAUGCAUAGCCGACCUGAGAGGGUGAUCGGCCACACUGGUACUGAGACACGGUCCAGACUCCUACGGGAGGCAGCAGUAGGGAAUCUUCCGCAAUGGGCGAAAGCCUGACGGAGCAACGCCGCGUGAGUGAUGAAGGUCUUCGGAUCGUAAAACUCUGUUAUUAGGGAAGAACAUAUGUGUAAGUAACUGUGCACAUCUUGACGGUACCUAAUCAGAAAGCCACGGCUAACUACGUG
rnacentral:rRNA from 1 species